UACGUAGGGUGCAAGCGUUAAUCGGAAUUACUGGGCGUAAAGCGUGCGCAGGCGGUGAUGUAAGACAGGUGUGAAAUCCCCGGGCUCAACCUGGGAACUGCAUUUGUGACUGCAUGGCUAGAGUACGGUAGAGGGGGAUGGAAUUCCGCGUGUAGCAGUGAAAUGCGUAGAUAUGCGGAGGAACACCGAUGGCGAAGGCAAUCCCCUGGACCUGUACUGACGCUCAUGCACGAAAGCGUGGGGAGCAAACAGG
rnacentral:rRNA from 1 species